UGGGGAAUAUUGGACAAUGGGCGCAAGCCUGAUCCAGCCAUGCCGCGUGAGUGAUGAAGGCCCUAGGGUUGUAAAGCUCUUUCGCCAGGGACGAUAAUGACGGUACCUGGAUAAGAAGCCCCGGCUAACUUCGUGCCAGCAGCCGCGGUAAUACGAAGGGGGCUAGCGUUGUUCGGAAUCACUGGGCGUAAAGCGCACGUAGGCGGAUCUUUAAGUCAGGGGUGAAAUCCCGAGGCUCAACCUCGGAACUGCCUUUGAUACUGGAGGUCUCGAGUUCGGGAGAGGUGAGUGGAACUGCGAGUGUAGAGGUGAAAUUCGUAGAUAUUCGCAAGAACACCAGUGGCGAAGGCGGCUCACUGGCCCGAUACUGACGCUGAGGUGCGAAAGCGUGGGGAGCAAACAGG
rnacentral:rRNA from 2 species